CUCUGAGCUGCUGCCACCUGCUGGGCUGGAGCUGGAGCUGCGAAAUCAGACUCCCGAUUCCGUCUGCCCCCUGGUGAGCUCAGCAAACUAAAAGUCUCUUUGUCUUCAUCGUUUCCGGCACUGAUCUGAACACAUCAUAAGCACAAGACCUGGACACCUUUACAAUAAGAAGGCCUAGGACUGGAGCUCUGGAUCUGACCGGAGCAAAGAGGAAGCACGCAAAUCCGGACAUGACGACGAGGAGGCAGUAGAGACCCAUCCUCAACUGUUCUUGUCUUGGAGCCUCUUUCCUUACUUCUAAAUGAGUGGAAAGCCACCCACAAGCCCCUGUGAGUGAGGAUGCCCUUGGUAAACCCAGGUGAUCACACCCUGGGCAGGCCCUGCCCCACAGGGCCCCAUCCCACUACUCCCCAGCCUGUCCUCACCAACUGCCCAGGCAAGAGCAAAGCCCACGGGGAGGACCUGUGACCACAGGCAAGGACCACGGACCCCAGCCCCAGGGAUUUUGACCUCAAGAAAGGAAACAUCCACAUUUACCCUCCAUCUGGUGACCCAGCUGCAUCCGGGGUGGGUUUGGUCUCUGCUGGGACCAUGAGGUUCAGACCACCAAGAAACAGCACUAGCACAGGUGAAAAUCAUGGGCAAACUUUAUUGGCAUAAAUCACAGGAAUUGAAAUGGGAUAAGCCAGGUUAGAAGUUUAC
rnacentral:antisense_RNA from 1 species